AUGAACGCUAGCUACAGGCUUAACACAUGCAAGUCGAGGGGCAGCAUGAACUUAGCUUGCUAAGUUUGAUGGCGACCGGCGCACGGGUGAGUAACACGUAUCCAACCUGCCGAUGACUCGGGGAUAGCCUUUCGAAAGAAAGAUUAAUACCCGAUGGCAUAGUUCUUCCGCAUGGUAGAACUAUUAAAGAAUUUCGGUCAUCGAUGGGGAUGCGUUCCAUUAGGUUGUUGGCGGGGUAACGGCCCACCAAGCCUUCGAUGGAUAGGGGUUCUGAGAGGAAGGUCCCCCACAUUGGAACUGAGACACGGUCCAAACUCCUACGGGAGGCAGCAGUGAGGAAUAUUGGUCAAUGGACGAGAGUCUGAACCAGCCAAGUAGCGUGAAGGAUGACUGCCCUAUGGGUUGUAAACUUCUUUUAUACGGGAAUAAAGUGAGGCACGUGUGCCUUUUUGUAUGUACCGUAUGAAUAAGGAUCGGCUAACUCCGUGCCAGCAGCCGCGGUAAUACGGAGGAUCCGAGCGUUAUCCGGAUUUAUUGGGUUUAAAGGGAGCGUAGGCGGACGCUUAAGUCAGUUGUGAAAGUUUGCGGCUCAACCGUAAAAUUGCAGUUGAUACUGGGUGUCUUGAGUACAGUAGAGGCAGGCGGAAUUCGUGGUGUAGCGGUGAAAUGCUUAGAUAUCACGAAGAACUCCGAUUGCGAAGGCAGCCUGCUGGACUGUAACUGACGCUGAUGCUCGAAAGUGUGGGUAUCAAACAGGAUUAGAUACCCUGGUAGUCCACACAGUAAACGAUGAAUACUCGCUGUUUGCGAUAUACAGUAAGCGGCCAAGCGAAAGCGUUAAGUAUUCCACCUGGGGAGUACGUUCGCAAGAAUGAAACUCAAAGGAAUUGACGGGGACCCGCACAAGCGGUGGAGCAUGUGGUUUAAUUCGAAGCAACGCGAAGAACCUUACCAAGUCUUGACAUCCCUCUGACCGACUCUUAACCGAGUCUUUCCUUCGGGACAGGGGAGACAGGUGGUGCAUGGUUGUCGUCAGCUCGUGUCGUGAGAUGUUGGGUUAAGUCCCGCAACGAGCGCAACCCUUGCCUUUAGUUGCCAUCAUUAAGUUGGGCACUCUAGAGGGACUGCCAGGGAUAACCUGGAGGAAGGUGGGGAUGACGUCAAAUCAUCAUGCCCCUUAUGAUUUGGGCUACACACGUGCUACAAUGGCGUAAACAAAGGGAGGCAGAACCGCGAGGUCGAGCAAAUCCCAAAAAUAACGUCUCAGUUCGGAUUGUAGUCUGCAACUCGACUACAUGAAGCUGGAAUCGCUAGUAAUCGCGAAUCAGAAUGUCGCGGUGAAUACGUUCCCGGGCCUUGUACACACCGCCCGUCACACCAUGGGAGUUGGUAACGCCCGAAGUCAGUGACCCAACCUUUCAGGAGGGAGCUGCCGAAGGCGGGACUGAUAACUGGGGUG
rnacentral:rRNA from 1 species